rnacentral:rRNA from 1 species
GGCGAACGGGUGAGUAACACGUGGGCAACCUGCCCCUCGCAGGGGGACAACCGGAGGAAACUCCGGCUAAGUACCCCGUAAGCUCUAAGCGCCGCAUGGCGAGUAGAGGAAAGGUAGCUUCGGCUAUCCGGCGAGGGAUGGGCCCGCGGUGCAUUAGCUAGUUGGUGGGGUAACGGCCCACCAAGGCGACGAUGCGUAGCUGGUCUGAGAGGAUGAUCAGCCACACUGGGACUGAGACACGGCCCAGACUCCUACGGGAGGCAGCAGCCAGGAAUCUUGGGCAAUGGGCGAAAGCCUGACCCAGCAACACCGUGUGGGUGAUGAAGGCCUUCGGGUCGUAAAGCCCUGUUGAUAGGGACGAAGGGCGAAGGGUUAAUAGCCCCUAGCUUGACGGUACCUUUCGAGGAAGCCCCGGUAAUACGUGCCAGCCGACGCGG